rnacentral:rRNA from 1 species
UACGUAGGGAGCAAGCGUUGUCCGGAAUCAUUGGGCGUAAAGCGCGCGUAGGUGGCUUCGUAAGUCCGUUGUGAAAGUCAAAGGCUCAACCUUUGAAAGCCGAUGGAUACUGCGGAGCUAGAGUACGGAAGAGGCGAGUGGAAUUCCUGGUGUAGCGGUGGAAUGCGCAGAUAUCAGGAGGAACACCAAUAGCGGAAGGCAGCUCGCUGGGACGUACUGACACUGAGGCGCGAAAGCGUGGGGAGGCGAACAG